UGAACGUGGCGUAGUGGUUUUGAACGUUGGACUAUGACUCUGGAGACCAGGGUUCGAUUCCCGGUUCAG